rnacentral:rRNA from 1 species
GACGAACGCUGGCGGCGUGCCUAAUACAUGCAAGUCGAGCGGACCGGAUUGGGGCUUGCCUUGAUUCGGUCAGCGGCGGACGGGUGAGUAACACGUGGGCAACCUGCCCGCAAGACCGGGAUAACUCCGGGAAACCGGAGCUAAUACCGGAUAACACCGAAGACCGCAUGGUCUUCGGUUGAAAGGCGGCCUUUGGGCUGUCACUUGCGGAUGGGCCCGCGGCGCAUUAGCUAGUUGGUGAGGUAACGGCUCACCAAGGCGACGAUGCGUAGCCGGCCUGAGAGGGUGACCGGCCACGCUGGGACUGAGACACGGCCCAGACUCCUACGGGAGGCAGCAGUAGGGAAUCUUCCGCAAUGGGCGAAAGCCUGACGGAGCGACGCCGCGUGAGCGAAGAAGGCCUUCGGGUCGUAAAGCUCUGUUGUGAGGGACGAAGGAGCGUCGUUCGAAGAGGGCGGCGCGGUGACGGUACCUCACGAGAAAGCCCCGGCUAACUACGUG